UACGGAGGGAGCUAGCGUUGUUCGGAAUUACUGGGCGUAAAGCGCGCGUAGGCGGCUUUGUAAGUUAGAGGUGAAAGCCCGGGGCUCAACUCCGGAACUGCCUUUAAGACUGCAUCGCUUGAAUCCGGGAGAGGUGAGUGGAAUUCCGAGUGUAGAGGUGAAAUUCGUAGAUAUUCGCAAGAACACCAGUGGCGAAGGCGGCUCACUGGCCCGGAACUGACGCUGAGAUGCGAAAGCGUGGGGAGCAAACAGGAUUGAGAAACC
rnacentral:rRNA from 1 species